CAGUUUAGAUCCAAUUACAGGAGACAGAUUUUAAAUGUUCUAUCUAGCUAACUAAGUAUAGUUUCCUGAUAUCUGCAUCACAAAAGAGCUAAAGAUAAUCCCUGGGGCUAUACACCGGAGUUGACAAGCUCCUCCCUCUACAGGAAGGAAAUGUAGCACAACUAAAAGGGCAGAAAACAAAGCCGAAGAAAGAAAUGCCCAGUAGAGAGCAGAACUGGAAUACCAUGAGAGAAUGCUGGUAGACCUGCAGCAUGAGAGAUAGAAAUGGCCAACAACUUGGGGACUUACAAGCAAGAAAAUGAGCAAACAACAGCAAAGAAAGCUCUUGACCUGAAAAAUUCCUACAGGGGAAAAAUAAAGAAGAGUUCAAAACAGUUUUAGAAAGAAAACCAGAAAUGAAGGGAUAAUUUGCUUCUCUAACAUCCUAAACAACAGAACUGCAAAAGUGAAUAAAUUCAGACAGCAACAACUACAGCAACAGAAUGAUAACAGAAAGAUCAGUAAGAGACUUCUUUCUAAAUAAACACAAGGAUACAGGUUGAAGGCAGAAAUCUGGUAGAGGUAAUGGUGAAGAAACAGAACAUUAUGGACAGAAUAUGGUAAUAUCAUCUACAGGCGAAUGCUCCUUUUGUGGGACCACAGUACAACAUGGAAGGCUACACUAACAAUGAAGGUGCUGGAAGUCAGAUGCUUGUUAGGUUCCUGCAUUUCCAGAAUGUCACGAGACCAUAAGAGGACCAUAUCAGAGAGAGCCAGGAUGGCUACAGCUGGAAAAAGUGGGCUUUCUACAGAAGGAGCAGUCCUAGACUCCUUCAGGGAAGUCAGAGACCUCUCUCUAUGCAGCUUAUUCUCAACACGUUCUACCCUCCCUUAGCAGCCAGGAAAAGAAAUGAGCUGAGAUGGGAAGAGGCCUUCAGCAACUGUUCUUCUAUGGGAAUACAAAUAAAAUAUA
rnacentral:lncRNA from 1 species